rnacentral:rRNA from 1 species
CCUUCGGGAGCUGACGAGUGGCGGACGGGUGAGUAACGCGUAGGAAUCUGCCUGGUAGUGGGGGACAACUUAGGGAAACUUAAGCUAAUACCGCAUACGCUCCUUAUUGAAAGAUGGGGAGGAAAGCGGGGGACCUUCGGGCCUCGCGCUAUCAGAUGAGCCUGCGUUAGAUUAGCUAGUUGGUGGGGUAAAGGCCUACCAGGGCGACGAUCUAUAGCUGGUCUGAGAGGACGAUCAGCCACACUGGGACUGAGACACGGCCCAGACUCCUACGGGAGGCAGCAGUGGGGAAUAUUGGACAAUGGGCGCAAGCCUGAUCCAGCAAUACCGCGUGUGUGAAGAAGGCCUUAGGGUUGUAAAGCACUUUCAAUGGGGAGGAAAACCUGCCGGUCAAUACCCGGUAGCUUGACAUUACCUGUAGAAGAAGCACCGGCUAACUCCGUGCCAGCAGCCGCGGUAAUACGGAGGGUGCGAGCGUUAAUCGGAAUUACUGGGCGUAAAGCGUGCGUAGGCGGUUAAUUAAGUCAGAUGUGAAAGCCCCGGGCUUAACCUGGGAACGGCAUUUGAUACUGGUUAACUAGAGUUUAGUAGAGGGGAGUGGAAUUUCAGGUGUAGCGGUGAAAUGCGUAGAUAUCUGAAGGAACACCAGUGGCGAAGGCGACUCCCUGGACUAGAACUGACGCUGAGGUACGAAAGCGUGGGUAGCAAACAGGAUUAGAUACCCUGGUAGUCCACGCCGUAAACGAUGUCAACUAGCCGUUGGUCCUAUUUACAGGAUUAGUGGCGCAGCUAACGCAUUAAGUUGACCGCCUGGGGAGUACGGCCGCAAGGUUAAAACUCAAAUGAAUUGACGGGGGCCCGCACAAGCGGUGGAGCAUGUGGUUUAAUUCGAUGCAACGCGAAGAACCUUACCUACCCUUGACAUCCAGAGAAUCA